AUGACAAUAACUUCAACUCCCUUAUUGAGGACAGGCUCCCUUAUACCAUUCGCUCUACAGCAGUACUUUUCCACUAACUAUUCAUUGGUCAACAACUUUGCCCAGCAACAGCAAACACCCAGCAACUUCCAUGUCUUCACGGCUCGAGAACAAGCAGUCCAAGAGAGCAAGGCAUCUCCUGAAUCACCCUUCUUUGGUCCUUCUAAACUCUUUACAUUCCUCAUGGCCUUUCCAUUAGGAGUCGGAUGUUAUCACCAACCAUGGGGCUUGUCGACCCCCCAUGGCCACACUCUCACAUCUCCCCCUUCUUUAUUAACAAAGAAAGCAUGGUUAACACAAAUUAAGACACGGAGAAAAACUACCAGGCAUACUAAUCUUAUCUUUAACCAACUUUGUAACCACAUCCCUGGGAGAGGCAGGCACUGAGUGCUGCCCAGCCAGGGGGCUCUGGCUGCCCCUCCAGCUCCUGGAGUCCUUGCUUGUGGGUCCUGCAUGUGCCAGCAGACCCUCCUAUACAUUGUUUUUUGUUUGAGCUGGAGUCCAAACCGUGGAGGAGAGUGCUGUGAUCAUGUUAAGGCAGAUGAUGAGACAGAUGGAUGGACCCAUUGUGCUGACACCCAUCUAGGACUGGCUUCUGUUGAAAUACAAGCAUAACCUCAGUCCUAAGUUAUUAGGGAGUAGGGCCCUUCCCAUUCAUUGGUGCUUAAUUUUUUUUUUACCAUGACUUGUGCCUUUUCGUUAACUGAGUUUAAAGUAUUGUGAUUAAAAUGUUUGUGAAUUGGAGGACCUUCCUCUGUCCGUCGAUUUAAAAAUUUAAGAACAUAGCAUGCUUUAGAUAUCCUUUCCUGGGGGGUCAUACUCGUACACCCCUUUUUUUGUUUUUGAAGCAUAGCUUUUAGGGUACCAUGGGCCUGUUCAAUAAUUGCUUGACCCUGGGGAGAAUGAGGUAUACCCGUCAGAUGUUGAAUACCCCACUAUUGAAAAAAAGUGGGUUGUGUGGGCCACAUAUCCUGGCCCAUUAUCUGUUUUAAUCAUUUUUGGCACUCCCAAUGUCACAAAUACUGACAGAAGAUGUUAACACACAUCCUUUGUGUUUUCUUCCACAUGGACAGAUGCAAAAAUACAGGCAGAAAAGGUAUCAAUUAAAACAUAAACAUAACGAAGUUUUCCAAAUUCUGGUAAAUGUGUAACUUAAAAAACAAACAAACAAACAAAAAAAGUCCUUUAAGUCUAUUACUAUUAAUGUCCAUGACUGAGGGAACAUAGCUGGAGAUGGCAAUCCCAGUUGAAGUGCUCCCAUAUCUUCCAUGACUUCAUUAAUUUUUCUCAAAUCAUGUAACAGUCUCCAUUUUCCAUUCCUUUUCUUGAUUACUAAUGCAGGUGAGUUUCAGGGUCUAGUCAUAGGAACAAUAUGUCUCGCUUCAAG
rnacentral:lncRNA from 1 species